GCUGGGUGUGGUAGUGGGCACCUGUAAUCCCAGCUACUCAGGAGGCUGAGGCAGGAGAAUUGCUUGAGCCCAGGAGGCAGAGGUUGUAGUGAGCCAAGAUGGUACCACUGCACUCCAGCCUGGGUGACAGAGUGAGACCCUGUCUCAA
ensembl:misc_RNA Metazoa_SRP Metazoan signal recognition particle RNA